rnacentral:rRNA from 1 species
AACGAACGCUGGCGGCGUGUUUAAGACAUGCAAGUCGCACGGGAUAAGACAUGUAGUAAUACUUGUUUUAUUUAGUGGCGCACGGGUGAGUAACACGUGAAUUACAUGCCCUAUAGUGGGGAAUAGCCCAGGGAAACUUGGAUUAAUACCCCAUGGUAUCGAAAGAUUAAAGGUGGCCGCAAGGCUGUCGCUAUAGGAUUGGUUCGCGCCCUAUCAGCUUGUUGGUGAGGUAACGGCUCACCAAGGCAAUGACGGGUACCUGGUCUGAGAGGACGAUCAGGCACAAUGGAACUGAGACACGGUCCAGACACCUACGGGUGUCAGCAGUCGAGAAUAAUUCACAAUGGGGGCAACCCUGAUGGUGCAACGCCGCGUGGAGGAUGACGGUCCUCGGAUUGUAAACUCCUGUCAUCUGGGAGAAAGACCUGACGGUAAAUAGCCGGCAGGGUUGAUAGUACCAGAAGAGGAAGGGACGGCUAACUUCGUGCCAGCCGCCGCGGUAA